rnacentral:rRNA from 1 species
UGGGUAACCUGCCUCAAAGAGGGGAAUAGCCUCCCGAAAGGGAGAUUAAUACCGCAUAAUAUGUUUAAGUCGCAUGAUUUUAACAUCAAAGGAUUUUCUUUUAAGAAAUUCCACUUUGAGAUGGACCCGCGGCGCAUUAGCUAGUUGGUGAGGUAACGGCUCACCAAGGCAACGAUGCGUAGCCGACCUGAGAGGGUGAUCGGCCACAUUGGAACUGAGACACGGUCCAGACUCCGUAAGGGAGG